CCCUUGACAUGUACGGAACUUGCCAGAGAUGGCUUGGUGCUCGAAAGAGAGCCGUAACACAGGUGCUGCAUGGCUGUCGUCAGCUCGUGUCGUGAGAUGUUGGGUUAAGUCCCGCAACGAGCGCAACCCUUGUCAUUAGUUGCUACGAAAGGGCACUCUAAUGAGACUGCCGGUGACAAACCGGAGGAAGUGGGGAUGACGUCAAGUCCUCAUGGCCCUUAUGGGUAGGGCUACACACGUCAUACAAUAGCCGGUACAAAGGGCAGCCAACCCGCGAGGGGGAGCCAAUCCCGUAAAGCCGGUCGUAGUCCGGAUCGCAGUCUGCAACUCGACUGCGUGAAGUCGGAAUCGCUAGUAAUCGUGGAUCAGCAUGUCACGGUGAAUACGUUCCCGGGUCUU
rnacentral:rRNA from 1 species